CCUACGGGAGGCAGCAGUGAGGAAUAUUGGUCAAUGGUCGGGAGACUGAACCAGCCAAGCCGCGUGAGGGCGGAAGGUACAGAGUAUCGUAAACCUCUUUUGUCAGGGAACAAAGACUGGGACGCGUCCCCGGAUGAGUGUACCUGAAGAAAAAGCAUCGGCUAACUCCGUGCCAGCCGCCGCGGUAAUACGGAGGAGGCGAGCGUUAUCCGGAUUUAUUGGGUUAAAAGGGUGCGCAGGCGGUCUGGUAAGUCAGCGGUCAAAGCCCGGGGCUCAACCCCGGCCCGCCGUUGAAACUGGCAGUCUCGAGUUGGAGAGAAGUAUGCGGAAUGCGCGGUGUAGCGGUGACAUGCAUAGAUAUCGCGCAGAACUCCGAUUGCGAAGGCAGCAUGCCGGCUCCACACUGACGCUGAGGCACGAAAGCGUGGGUAUCGAACAGGAUUAGAUACCCCGGUAGUC
rnacentral:rRNA from 1 species